rnacentral:rRNA from 1 species
AUUGAACGCUGGCGGAAUGCUUUACACAUGCAAGUCGAACGGCAGCACGGACUUCGGUCUGGUGGCGAGUGGCGAACGGGUGAGUAAUACAUCGGAACGUGCCCAGUCGUGGGGGAUAACGUAGCGAAAGCUACGCUAAUACCGCAUACGAUCUACGGAUGAAAGCGGGGGAUCGCAAGACCUCGCGCGAUUGGAGCGGCCGAUGGCAGAUUAGGUAGUUGAUGGGGUAAAGGCUCACCAAGCCGACGAUCUGUAGCUGGUCUGAGAGGACGACCAGCCACACUGGCACUGAGACACGGCCCAGACUCCUACGGGAGGCAGCAGUGGGGAAUUUUGGACAAUGGGCGCAAGCCUGAUCCAGCCAUUCCGCGUGCAGGAUGAAGGCCCUCGGGUUGUAAACUGCUUUUGUACGGAACGAAAAGGCUCUGGUUAAUACCCGGGGCUCAUGACGGUACCGUAAGAAUAAGCACCGGCUAACUACGUGCCAGCCGCCGCGGUAA